GGUCCCUUAGCUUAAUGGAUAAAGCAACUGCCUUCUAAGCAGUCGAGUCCCAGUUCGAGUCUGGGAGGAAUCA
rnacentral:tRNA from 1 species